UACGUAGGGUGCAAGCGUUGUCCCGGAAUUAUUGGGCGUAAAGAGCUCGUAGGCGGUUUGUUGCGUCGGCUGUGAAAUCCCGAGGCUCAACCUCGGGUCUGCAGUCGAUACGAGCAAACUAGAGUGUUGCAGGGGGAGACUGGAAUUCCUGGUGUAGCGGUGAAAUGCGCAGAUAUCAGGAGGAACACCGGUGGCGAAGGCGACUACCUGGCCUGUUCUUGACGC
rnacentral:rRNA from 1 species